CGGCCCGGCCCCCGCCGCGGGCGGCCUGCGACCCCGCGGGGACAACUUCCCGCUCAACUUCCCCGCUCGGGUGCACCCGGCGGGGCGUGGGGGGCUUCACCCCGCGCGCGCCACACCCCCCGCCGUCCCCACAGGGCGCCCGGCCGCCCCGCUCGGCCUGACAGUGGCGCGAACGCCGCGUCCAAGUUCGCCGGGGCCGACGCGGCCCCCGGGGGCGGACGGCGCCGCGCUCCCAGGGUGGCCGAGCGGCCGGGCGCGUGCGGGCCGUCACCUGGGGCGGCCGCGCCGCCCGGACGCUGACAGGGAGCGGAGGCCACUGUCUUCCUCGGUGAUCUUCAACACUGCUAAAGUGGAAGAAACUGAGGCCCCGGAGUGAGCAAGGACAGAGGCGGCAUCACUGGGGCCUUCUCGUUCAACUGACUGACCCAUGACGUCCAGCUGAAUCCCAGCGUUUUUCUCAGAGUUGUACCAGAUGAGCAGUUGACAGGAAGUCCAGAACUUGGCCGAGUUCACAAGGACCCUGAGGGGAAGGUGAGCUACAACCAGCAAAGUACCAGUGACAAAGGAAUACUCCACCCAUUUUUGUUUACAGUGCUAAAAUGUUUCUCACUGAUGUUCUGUUUGCUGCCCCUCACUACCACUUUAUUGAACAUUGGUUUCUGUCUUUUUUUUUUUAAUGUGGAAUGAUCUUGUCUGUGCUCCACGUUGUUUCCUUCUGUCCUUCAACCUAAUGACUAAAGGUGUCCCCCCUUCCUGUGUAUGGGUGCCUCUGUGUGUGCUUUACCCCUCAGAGGCUGCCUUCUUAGGGCGCCAUCAUCUCUAAGUGACUUUCCACCUCUGCCUUCUGUUUACUUCUCCCUUCCUGUGUGAAGGCUCCCCCUCUUCCUGGCCCGAUGAUGCGUGUGCAUCACCCUAACACAGAGAAGGCCGUCUCUGCUUGUGUGUGGGCCACGCUGCGCAGCGCGUGGCGGCGGUGUCGGGCCCUCACCAGUGCCAGGCACCUCUGCCCGCCACGUGUCAUCAUCCGCAGCUGCAGGUGUCUCCCUGUGCAGGCCCAUGCCCCUGUCUCUGCCAGAGGACCCGAGAGCCUGCCCAGCUCGCUCUCCCUGUCCAUCACCCCCCACCCCACGCCCCAGCCUGUCAGCACUUGCCCCUGCUCUUUUGGCUUCCUAGUGCCCUCGUGCCUCCUGGCUGCUGCCGGCCCCUCUACCUGCGUGGUUCUGUUGUGAUGCCCGCUGCCCGUCUGCCCCUCCCUUGCUGGCUGGCAGCUUCCUUCUCUCCCUGGUUGUCUGUCUGCUUCUCUGGCUGUUUGCCCACCACUCUCUCUCUCUCGCCAUCUGUCUCCCCGCCUGCCUGUCUCUGUCACUUUUAAAGCCCGAAGCUCUUGGUUUGUCUACCUUCCAGGACGUGCCACCGUUCCCUAGAACAGUUGCCUCUCCUCUUGACCUUCUCCCAUUUCUGCUCCCAUGUGUCUCUGCUAAGUUCAUCAUUUUCCUUUGCCUCCUGUCAGCUGUGUCGUCCUGCCCGUCUGUCUUGUCUUCUGCUCUCUCACUGCUCAGUGUUUGUGUCUUUUCACUGUACUUAUCAGCUUUUCCCCUUGGCUUCCACGGGUAGUGCCGACAGCGCAGAGGGGAAGCUCCUCUCCCAGGCCUUUCUGAGGCCCCCUCUCCUUACAGUAGCGUCUGCAUCUGUGCCAUGCUCCUCACCCACCUUCUCUCACGUUUGCAGCCGUUUUAAUUACCCUCUUUCUCCCUUGCUGCCUUCACAGGCAGUCUGCCUGCCACAGUCUUUUUGCUGGUUUCCUACUCUGUUUCCCUGGCUUUUUGCUGUCUGCUUAGCAGGUUCUGGCUGUCCACAUCUCUGCUUGCUUUUCUUUCUUCUUGUUUGUUCUAAGUAUUUUUUCCUCAGUCAACUUUCAAAUAGACAUAAACAUGCUAUGAAACUCUGAAAGUAUGAAUCCUAGGUCUAGAGAGACCGCCCAGUAAUUAAGAGCAUUGGGUGCUCUCUCAGAGCAUUGGUUCCUAGUGCUGAAAUGGUCGCUGACAACUGUCGGUAACUCCAGGUCCAGGGACUACAACGCCCUCUUCUGGUGUCUUUAGGUACUGCAUGAUGUACAGACUGGUAUUCAUAUAAAGCAGAGUAGGGGCUGGAGGGAUGGCUCAGCAAUCAAGAGCACUUGUUGCUCUUGCAAACGACUGGGAUUUGGUCGCCAGCACCCACAUGGUAGCUCACACCCACCCUUCUGUAACUCCAGUCCCACGCUGACCACCAAGAGCCCAUGUGCACAUACAUACAUGUGGCAGAAACGUAAGAUAAAUACAUGCUUUUUUUUUCUUUUUUUCUUUUCUUUUUAUUUUUCUUUUUUUUCUUGAGACAGGGUUUCUCUGUGUAGCUUGGCUGUCCUGGAACUCACUCUGUAGACCAGGCUGGCCUCGAACUCAGAGCUCCCCCUGCCUCCGCCUCCUAAGAGCUGGGAUCAAAGGUGUGCGCCACCGUGCCCGUGCCCGGCUAAAUAAAUGCCUUUUAAAAAUAAGACUUAAUGAAUUAAAAAAAAAAAAGGCUUCCAUGUAUCUCCUUACUUCCUCUCUAUCCUAGUCCCUGCUGAUUGGCUGCCCCCUGCCCUUCUAUCCACCUGGCCUGGAUCCCUCCACCAUCCCACCUGUCUGUUGGAGUCUCCCUCGCUGCCUGCAAUGAUGCAGGGCCAGCGCUCGGUAAAUUGUGAGGCACUGUUUGUGUAACACAUUGCUUUGUCUUCUUACCUGUUUCUUCUAUUAGCGCCUGCUUCAUUCUCUCUUCCCUUUCUCUCUGUGUGUGUCUUGGAGACGCUGCCUCCUUCCCGAGGCUGUGUUUCUCUUUCCUUGCCAGCCUGUGGUGCUGCCCUCAGGCCGCUCAGUUCUCGUCUCCCUCUGUGCAUACAGGCUCCUCUGUAUUUCCUUCGCCUACUUCUUCCCUCUGUCCUUGGGCCUUUUAUCUGUAUGUCUCACUGUCUCUAGAUGCCAGUCCCAUUACUCAUUUCAAUGUGCGCAUCUACUCUUCCUAUGUUCCCUAAGAAAGCUUGCAAUCCCUUGUAACUAAUUGGCUAUUACUUCUUGCUUUUAUUUAGAAGAGUGUUCAGGUAAGAACAAGGAAUAUACAGACAUUCAGUUAUCAAAUACAAACUAGAAUUAAUGGACCUCCCCAGUGUAAAAUAAAGAACAAGGAAAUGCAUUGAGGAGAUUCCUAAGCCAAAAUAAGAUCAUUUAAAGCAAGCUCAAGAACUGUAUCUAAAACAAUAGUUAAAAACCCUUCUGAUUAUAAAAAGUUAUAAACUAUUUUGCUAGAAAAAAGGCAGGCACUCUGAAGGACAAAGAAGAUCCAGCCCUGUGCAAACCAGCCCAGCUUCAUCAUAAAUCUCCAUGUGCUGGGCUAGGGAGAUAGCCAGGUAGAAAGCUGCUUUCCACACAGGCAGGGUGUGAGUUCAGUCUGCGGUGCCCGAGGUGCUUGUGAGAGACCCGCCUGCCUCAGAACACAGGCAGACGGGAAACCUCAACCUCUGGCCUCCACGUAGACUAACACACGUAAUAGAGUCACUUUUUAAAAUUUAAGCCAGUAAAUAAUAUUAAAAUGAACCUUUAUCCAUCAUUCUGCUUAUUAAAUAAAACGUUACUGACCUUUGCUGAUCUUUAGACCACACGUAGGGGCGGGAGAGUAGCGUGGUGGGCCACUCACUGCUCUCGCUGAGGGACCUGGGCUCAGCUCGGAGCACUCACACACCAGCUUGCAGCUGCUGCUGCAGCUCCAGGAUCUCUGGCAUCUGCUGCUUGCCUCCACGCUCCUUGCAUGCAAGUGGUGCCCACACAUUGAUGCAAACAUACAUUCAUGCAAACAUACAUUCAUACAAACAUACAAGUAAAAAAAUUAAAUCGAAAAACCUACUGUGGCUCUUACUGUUUUACACAUCCAUCCUUUACCUCCACCAAAAUUUUGUGCUUAAAAUUUUCUUGUUUUAUAGCGAGAGAGAUGGCUCAGUGGUCAAGAGCACUGUCUGUUCUUCCAGAGGACCUGAGUUCAAUUCCCAGCACCCACAUGGUGGCUCACAACCAUCUGUAACGCCAGUUCCCAGGGACCUAGCACCCUCUUUGGCUUCUGUGGACACCAGGCACACACAUAUGGCACACAGACAUACAUUCAGACAAAACACCAUACAUACAAAUAAUUUUUAAAACUAAAAAGCAAUUUUUCCUUCCUAUCUGUAACUUUCUGAAAACAUUUAGAGUGUGUGUGUGUGUGUGUGUGUGUGUGUGUGUGUGUGUGUGCACACAUCCGUGCCCAUGUCAUCCACCCAUGCUCCCCUCGGGCCCCAGCGCGUAUAUGGAAACAAGAAGACAACUUGCAGGAGUUGACUCUUCCCUUCCACCAUGAGCCGUCCUGGGAUUGAACUUAGCUCAUCGGGCUUGGCCUAAAGCCCCUCUAUCUACUGAGCCAUCUAAACAGCCCACAGAAUCUUCUGAAUUCUUAAAAAGGUAAUCUGUAGAAAACUCCGAAAGCAUCCAGCGUUCAUGUAGCACUCAUCUAGACUCCCCCGUCGGCUGAUGCUCUGUACAUGGGGUGCUGGCUGGUUUCAUGCCGGCUUGACACGGGCUGCUGUCACUGGGAAAGAGCAAACCUCCGCUGAGAAAAGGCCCACACCACAGUGAAUCGACGUGUGGCUGAGCUCACUGGGGCAGUGCCACCCCUGGCUGCGGGUCCUAGGUGUUAGAAGAAAGCAGAGCCUGGCAGUGGUGGUGCACACCUUUAGUCCCAGCACUCAGGAGGCAGAGGCAGGAGGAUCUCUGUGAGUUCCAGGUUGGCCUGAUCUAUAGAGCGAGUUCCAGGAUAGUCAGGGCUACACAAAGAAACCCUGUCUGGGAAAACCAAAACUAAAUAAAUAAAAGAAAAAAGAAAGCAGGCUAUAAGUAAGGAGCAAGCCAGUAAGAGCCAUGUGGACAUCAGCUCCUGCCUCCAGUUCCUGCCCUCGCUUCCCUUGGUGAUGGUCUGUGAUAGGAGCUGUGAGCUGAAACAAGCCCUUUCCUGCUCAGAUUCCCAUGGUAUUUCUAUCGAGGCAGGAGACGAUGGGCGGAUCACUGUGAUGCAGUCUUAAGUGAACAAAUAGAGAAUUCUGCCUGUAAUAGGACUUCAGCCUCGUAGCAGUAAACUAGUACAAGGAGAUAAUUUAAAUGUUAGUAAUGAUUUUCAUGGAAACAGGCAUUUUUGUUUGUUUUCUAUUUGUUUAUACUUCUCUCCCUAGAAUUUUCUCUGGAGUACAUACUCUAUGAUGAAAAAUAAAACUAAGGUGAGAGAGAGAUUGCCUGGUCAUGAGGUGUGGUAGCCUGGAAUGGGCAGUAAGCCUGGAGUGGGCCGCCACUCCACCAGAGUGCUGCCCUCAACACCAGGACGGACGGACGGACGGACAGACGGACGGACGGAUGAUGUGUCCGAGGGAAGUUUCUGUAUGUGUGCAGAGCCCGGAGUGAGCCCGGGGCCCCCUGUGCUAGCCAGCCACUCUGCAGAGUCGGGAGUGAGCCCGGCCCCCUGUGCUAGCCAGCGACUAUACAGCUACAACACACCCUAGGGGAAGAUAAUUUUAGAUGAGGGUCGUUUCAUCCCCCAGCUUGCACUGAGGUCCUGUGCUCCUCCAAGGCUCCUGCUGUCCUAGAUUCCCAAUGUCCCCACUUGGAGGUUAGUUCUUGUCGGCCAGCAAGAGGGCUUCGUGGGAGCCUGCAGCCGUCUCUAAAGGCUCCCGAGGCGGGCUCCUCACUGCUGCUGCAGCUGCAGGGGCUUUGCCACCCUCCGCGUUCUUCCAUGGCCAACGACAUGCACGUGUGCACACAAUAUAGACAUAAAUAAUAAAAAAUUAACAUUAAAAUUAUUUAAAGACAACCGGGAAAGUAUACCAUACCCGACAAACCAGUAUUUAUUUUAAGAUUUUUUGUUCUCUGUGUAUGAACAUUUUCUUUGUGUGUGUGGAAGUAUGUCUGGUGCCCAGGGAGGCCAGAACAAGGCACUGGAUCCCCUGGAACUGGAGUUCCAAUUUUAAGCUGCAGUGUGGGUGCUGAAAACUGAACCUAGGCCCUCUUCAAAGUCAGCAAAUGCCUGAGUUAUAGUCUUUAAUAGAGCUUAGAGAUAGCAGAAACUAGUUAUUUUAAAUAGAGAGUUUAUAUUUUAUUACUUGAGAAGUAGAGACAGGCCAGCCUAGUCUACAUCGUGUGAUUCUCACUUAAAAAAGGGGGGGGGGGCAGUGGUGGCGCAUGCUUUAAUCCCAGCACUCGGGAGGCAGAGGCAGGCAGACCGAAUUGAAGGCCACUCUGAUCUACAAAGUGAGUUCCAGGACAACCAAGGCCACACAGAGAACCCCUGACUGGGAUAACAGACAACAAAAAAGAGAGAAGAAAAGACUGCCCAGGAAAUAAAAUUACAAAGGCUGUGGUAAGGGCCAGAGAAGCACGAUGCAGCGACUUCAAAGAAGGCAGCUCAAGGCAGAACCGGCUCAGCAGCGCUCGCGCUGUGGACAGGGUCACAGCUUGUUGGGCCAACAGCUGGUUCCACAGUCCUUCCUGCAGCGUCAGGAGGGAGUCGGGUGAGCGGCAAGGGCAGAGUUAGGGAAGAGCGAGCUGAAGCUUAGGCAAGCGUUCAGGCAAGCUUCCUGCCUCAGCCUCCUAACAGCCACGCCUGGCUGCCGUUCCUUCCCUUUCCUUUUUGCCUGCCUGCCUUCUCUGAUAGGGUCUCACUACAUAAGCCCUGAUAGGCAGGCCUUGAACUCACAGAGCUCCAUCUGUCUCUGCCUCCACGCCCCGCUGUUUUCCUGGCUAAAAGACCUCAGCCAGCAUCGGGAUGGCUCAGUAGGUAGAGACGCUGUCAGGCUGAUGACACACGAGGUAGGAGAAAACCAGUGCCCUGCAAAUACUUGCUGUGGCGUGCUCCCUGCCACACAGAUAAAUAGAAACCUAAUUUUAAAAAUCAAAGAUCUCAGAGAAAGCCAUAACAAGAUUUCUAGAAAAAUACAAGAAUAAGUUCUGCAGAUAGGAAAUAGCGUUCAUCCAUACUGAGUUGCACUUUCUGCCCUGGUGCUUUCCUAGGUAAGCACGCACGCCUUCCGGUACAGCAGUGACCCUCACAGUCGCCAUGCUACAGAUAAGGAAACUGAGGUGGAAGGAAGCUUGGCCAAGGUCAGAGGGAUUUAGAGGGAUAUGGCAGGCAUUGGUAUUUAGCAGGCGUUUAGCUGGCCAGAUUCAUGGGCCUGAAGACAAGAAGCUGGGUGAUAGUUGACUCUAGAACAGGAAUACCACUAUUAAAACCACAGGAAGGAAGUUAAGGGAGCUUCAGGAUGGGUAAUGCGUUUGUUUUCAGAUGUGCUUAGCAUGCUAUGACAGACAUCUUUCUCCUCUGCUUGUCUGUGAGCUGUGGGACGCUUGCUGUCCUUGGAGGCCCAGCAAAGAAGCCCUCCCUUGCUGUGUGAAAGCUUUGCCUAGUCUCCCGACACUCAGUGCUGUCUUCCAGCCGAGCCCCUCCCUUUGCUUUCCAUGAAGGAGCUGCUGUCCUAAGAGGAAGGCAGAAGCACAAAAUUGCCACCUCCCUCUC